GAACGCUGGCGGCGUGCCUAAUACAUGCAAGUAGAACGCACAGGAUGCACCGUAGUUUACUACACCGUAUUCUGUGAGUUGCGAACGGGUGAGUAACGCGUAGGUAACCUGCCUGGUAGCGGGGGAUAACUAUUGGAAACGAUAGCUAAUACCGCAUAAGAACAUUUACUGCAUGGUAGAUGUUUAAAAGGUGCAAAAGCAUCACUACCAGAUGGACCUGCGUUGUAUUAGCUAGUUGGUGAGGUAACGGCUCACCAAGGCAACGAUACAUAGCCGACCUGAGAGGGUGAUCGGCCACACUGGGACUGAGACACGGCCCAGACUCCUACGGGAGGCAGCAGUAGGGAAUCUUCGGCAAUGGGGGGAACCCUGACCGAGCAACGCCGCGUGAGUGAAGAAGGUUUUCGGAUCGUAAAGCUCUGUUGUUAAGGAAGAACGUGUGUGAGAGUGGAAAGU
rnacentral:rRNA from 1 species